rnacentral:rRNA from 1 species
GACGUAGGGUGCGAGCGUUGUCCGGAUUUAUUGGGCGUAAAGAGCUCGUAGGCGGCUCGUCGCGUCGACCGUGAAAACCCGCGGCUUAACUGCGGGCUUGCGGUUGAUACGGGCGGGCUAGAGUUCGGUAGGGGAGACUGGAAUUCCUGGUGUAGCGGUGAAAUGCGCAGAUAUCAGGAGGAACACCGGUGGCGAGGGCGGUUCUCUGGGCAUUACCUGACGCUGAGGAGCGAAAGUGUGGGGAGCGAACAGG